GCCUGGGUGGCUCAGUCGGUUAAGCGUCUGACUUCAGGUCAGGUCAUGAUCUCAUGGCUUGUGGGUCCGAGCCCCGCAUCGGGCU
rnacentral:tRNA from 1 species